GAGCCGCAGAAGCGUCUCUACCCUAGCAAGCUUCACUGCCCUCUGCUGAUACUGGAAACAUAGAAAUGACACGGUACUGACCGAGAUUUGUAUGGUUUACAAUCAUAGCUUAAAGAAGACAACCAAAGGCGUGAUGAGCAGCUGUGAGGACAUCAAACAAUUCUGCCUCCUACUGAAGAAAUACUAGAGAAUUUCUUUGUGUUGAGUCCUCGCUGCCUCUUGAGGUGCUGAAUCUUAGCCUGAAGCUACAUGCUACACAGUCCAUUCAUCAAAACCAUGACCCUCUUCAGUCAGGGACAGGAUGCUAUGGACUAAUGAACUCAGUGCAAGGGGGCUGCGGAGAGGUGUGUUGACACGAAGCUAGGAGAAAGUCAAAGUCGGGACUUCCGAGAGGCUUCACUUGAGGCUUUGUUUGCAAAGUUGCCGUCCUCUGUAGACAGAUAAAGCCCUGUCCUCUGACGUCAGGCCAGCAGGAGAGAGUGAUGGCGUGCUGUAGGGAACAUGUGUUUAUGGAUCUCUCCAAGCUAAGAUCGCUAUAGGAGUCCACCGGCUUUGCCGCACGCUGGGUUUGUCACUUUUUGCCAAACAUGAUUUGUUGUCUGUAAAUACGCAGAGUGUCCUGUACUGUUCUUUCUUUUUUUUAUUUGAAUGUUUGCCUCAGGGGGAUAACACAUUACAUUGACAAAUCCCAUGUUUGAAUUUCUAAUGGGAGGUGCCUAAACUAUUCUAAACCAACAGUUUUUCUUUAUGAUGAAUCUAAAUGUGAUGCUAAAUUGUUUGGCCAAGGUUAUAGUUGAAAGCAUGAGAUACCUGAAAUAGUGUAAUUCAUAAAUCUGUUGAGAAAAUAAAUAUAUAAGUUUACUGAAUAUAUAUAUACAAUUAUUGUGUUAUGUAUCUAAUUUUCUUUCUGUUGUAAAUGUUCCUACAGACCAUUUGAUAUUCAGGACUCCUGCUUUU